CCUACGGGCGGCUGCAGUGAGGAAUAUUGGUCAAUGGGCGCGAGCCUGAACCAGCCAAGUCGCGUGAGGGAAGACGGUCCUAUGGAUUGUAAACCUCUUCUGUCGGGGAGCAAAAGAUGCCACGCGUGGCGUUCCGAGAGUACCCGACGAAAAAGCAUCGGCUAACUUCGUGCCAGCAGCCGCGGUAAUACGGGGGAUGCGAGCGUUAUCCGGAUUUAUUGGGGUGAAAGGGUGCGCAGGCGGAAGAGCAAGUCAGCGGUAAAAUUGAGAGGCUCAACCUCGUCGAGCCGUUGAAACUGGUUGUCUUGAGUGAGUGAGAGGUAUGCAGAAUGCGUGGUGUAGCGGUGAAAUGCAUAGAUAUCACGCAGAACUCCGAUUGCGAAGGCAGCAUACCGGCG
rnacentral:rRNA from 1 species